GGGGGGGGGGGGGGCUUGGGGGAGGAGGGAGGGAAAGUGGAUCAACAUCACCGAAGGAGGACAGCGAGCAAGAUUAGGGCUGGCUAAUGAUAAAUGAGAAGGCGCCGCUGACAGCUCCUCUCUCCGCGGCUCCCGCCCGGCAGCUCCGCGCUGCGCGCUCCGUGCGCACCUCCGCCCGCACCCGCGGCCGCCGCUUCGCUCCCCUCCGCCCAUCUCUUCUCAGUUUUAAUCUCUUUUUAUUAUUAUUAUUAUCGUUAUCAUCGUUAUUAUUGUUAUUAUCAUAUAUUUUUUUCAUUAUUAUUAUUUUUUCUUAAUUUUUCACCUCCGCGUAGCGCGCAGAGCGCUUGGGGGGGGGGGCUCCAUUUUAACCCCCCCCACCUUCGCCCCAAAACCGCUUUCCUCGGGAUUACGCCGCAUCGAGGGACCGGAGCAGGGGCUCCUGGGGUCAGCGCUCCCCCUCCAGAUGGAAGGAGCUGGAGCCCAUCCACUGCCCUCGCCCACAGCUGGCCCAGUGUUCCCAGCAGGAGCCCAGCACUGGCCAAAGCCAACCCUUACUGGAGGUUCCUCUUUCUCACCCCAUGGCCUGGGGCCCCCAGAUCUCUUUGCAGCUCCGUGAGCAGACUCUUGCCUCUGGGAUGGGAGCAGAGAUGAUGGCUCGGGGUCCCUGGGACAGCUCCUUGCACCCCCCCAGGGGUGCUGCAGGUAUUUGGGGACAGACCUACCGGGUGCGCUGUGGAUGCCGCAAGGAUCCCAUCGGGUUGCGCCGUGCCAAUAAAGCUCUUCUUGCUGCGG
ensembl:lncRNA